GAGUUUGAUCAUGGCUCAGGAUGAACGCUAGCGAUAGGCUUAACACAUGCAAGUCGAGGGGCAGCAUGAACUUAGCUUGCUAAGUUUGAUGGCGACCGGCGCACGGGUGCGUAACGCGUAUGCAACUUGCCUUACAGAGGGGGAUAACCCGUUGAAAGGCGGACUAAUACCGCAUACACUUGCUUGGUUGCAUGAUCGGGCAAGGAAAUAUUUAUAGCUGUAAGAUAGGCAUGCGUCCCAUUAGCUGGUUGGUGAGGUAACGGCUCACCAAGGCAACGAUGGGUAGGGGAACUGAGAGGUUUAUCCCCCACACUGGUACUGAGACACGGACCAGACUCCUACGGGAGGCAGCAGUGAGGAAUAUUGGUCAAUGGGCGAGAGCCUGAACCAGCCAAGUCGCGUGAAGGAAGACUGUCCUAAGGAUUGUAAACUUCUUUUAUACGGGAAUAACGGGCGAUACGUGUAUUGCGGGAAUUACC
rnacentral:rRNA from 1 species